rnacentral:snRNA from 1 species
GUGCUCACCUUGACAGCACAGACACUAAAACUGGAAGGUCUAUAGAUAAAGUUAGCAUGACCCCUUCCCAAGGAAGACAUAGACUCCUGAAGCAUUUACUGUUUUG